GGAGGAAAAGAAACCAACAGGGAUUGCCCUAGUAACGGCGAGUGAAGCGGCAACAGCUCAAAUUUGAAAUCUGGCCCUCGGGUCCGAGUUGUAAUUUGUAGAGGAUGCUUUUGGUGAGGUACCUUCCGAGUUCCCUGGAACGGGACGCCAUAGAGGGUGAGAGCCCCGUCUGGUUGGAUACCAAACCUCUGUAAAGCUCCUUCGACGAGUCGAGUAGUUUGGGAAUGCUGCUCUAAAUGGGAGGUAUAUGUCUUCUAAAGCUAAAUACCGGCCAGAGACCGAUAGCGCACAAGUAGAGUGAUCGAAAGAUGAAAAGCACUUUGAAAAGAGAGUUAAAAAGUACGUGAAAUUGUUGAAAGGGAAGCGCUUAUGACCAGACUUGGACUUGGUUGAUCAUCCUGGGUUCUCCCUGGUGCACUCUUCCAGUUCAGGCCAGCAUCAGUUCGCUGCGGGGGAUAAAAGUUUUGGGAAUGUGGCUCCCUCGGGAGUGUUAUAGCCCAUUUCAUAAUACCCUGCUCCGGACUGAGGUUCGCGCAUCUGCAAGGAUGCUGGCGUAAUGGUCAUCAGCGACCCGUCUUGAAACACGGACCAAGGAGUCGUCUUCGUAUGCGAGUGUUCGGGUGUUAAACCCCUACGCGUAAUGAAAGUGAACGCAGGUGAGAGCUUCGGCGCAUCAUCGACCGAUCCUGAUGUUCUCGGAUGGAUUUGAGUAAGAGCAUACGGGGCCGGACCCGAAAGAAGGUGAACUAUGCCUGUAUAGGGUGAAGCCAGAGGAAACUCUGGUGGAGGCUCGCAGCGGUUCUGACGUGCAAAUCGAUCGUCAAAUAUGGGCAUGGGGCGAAAGACUAAUCGAACCUUCUAGUAGCUGGUUUCCGCCGAA
rnacentral:rRNA from 1 species